rnacentral:rRNA from 1 species
GUGGAUUAGAUACCCUGGUAGUCCAUGCCGUAAACGAUGUCUACUAGCCGUUGGGGCCUUUGAGGCUUUAGUGGCGCAGCUAACGCGAUAAGUAGACCGCCUGGGGAGUACGGUCGCAAGACUAAAACUCAAAUGAAUUGACGGGGGCCCGCACAAGCGGUGGAGCAUGUGGUUUAAUUCGAUGCAACGCGAAGAACCUUACCUGGCCUUGACAUAGUAGAAACUUUCCAGAGAUGGAUUGGUGCCUUCGGGAAUCUACAUACAGGUGCUGCAUGGCUGUCGCCAACU